UAAUGAAACAAAUGAAAAAACCAUAAAAAGUAUAAAUACAAAACUUCACUAUCUAAAAGCUGUUGUAGUCACAUGCUGUUGAAGUCAGUGGAAGCGGGUCUUUUUUAAAUAGAAACGCUUUUUUUUCUUUGUGCAUUUAGAAGUUUUUAGCCCUUUCAUUCAUACAAAAAUUGUUUUGUGAUUCUCAUGUUUUUCAUGGAUAUUUUCAGUCAUACUUUUUAUUAAAGGUUGUUUUAAUAAAUUACUUGGCCUUCGUGUUAAUAAAUGGGCCUCUAAAUAAACCUAAUAGGUUUGUUUUGCCACCAAAAUGGAUUCAUGCAACUUAGUUACCAUCAAGUACCAGCUACUCUUAUUAUUACAGAGGAAAUGGAAAUCACUGAAAAGAAAUACAAUUACUUGCUUAAAAUUGACUGUGGGAAAUAGUCUGUAAUUGGAAACUUUCUGUGUUUCAGGUUUUUGAAAAAUGUAUCUCAUAUCUCAAAUUGUAGCUAAAGUUACAGAGCAAAUGAUAAUAAAGGAUGCACAAGAUAUAAUAGACUUUUACUGUUUUUGAAAUUGGAGUUUGGCAGUUGAGGAGAACUGGCAGUGCAGGUUAGAAGUUGGGACUAACAUGGAUUUGGGACUCAUAUUUUUUUUUUUAAUGGUUACAUUUACCACCUGGGUCUUACUGCCAUUCUUCAUUUACUGAUAUGCCAGUCAUUGUUCUGCUGUGACAAUAACUACUAAUAUUCUUUUUCAGUUUGAAAGAUUAGAACAAUUGCUCAUAUUUUUCACAAUUCUGGCAAAAUAUGUUGCGCUUAUCAAGUUUUGCAUACAGAUGUUUCUAGUUUGUUUGCUAUUUUUGAUGAUACCACUUUAAAAAGUGAGGCAGCGUGUUUAAGAAGACAUUUUCAUUCUUACACAAGGGGCACCCUGCUCAGUGGCUUUUUUUGGAUUCAACACAACAUGUUGUUGUCUUUUAACAUGUAGCAAAGUUAUAUUGAAAGUUAUAUUGAAUUGUUGUAGUGCGGGCAGUGUCGGACUGGCCCACCGGGAGACCGGGAGAAAUCCCGGUGGGCCCCAGGUCCUUGUGGGCCCCUGCGGGCACUCGCUACUUCAUUUCUUUGCAGGUAGUUAGAUCGUGCGCCCCAGUUUCGCGCAAGUAUAUAGUAGCUAUGUGGGCCCCCCCUCAAACUUAAUGGGCCCGCCCCACUCCCUACUUCACCAGGCACAUAGUGCUUUAAUUGGAAAUGCUGCCCCGCUGUUCCUGCUACUGUCCGGUUGUGUAUGUUAUCUGCUGUCCGACCUGAUGUCAGACUCUGCACGUGGAGGGAAUCUGAGAGAGGCGAGUUGAGAAGGGAGCGUCUGCGGAUUACAGCGAGUGGCUGCCUGUGCUGAUUUAUCUUCUGGGCCGGUUGGGGCUGCAUGCUCGCGCUCACUGUGUUCCUUCUAAACUGGCUCCUCUGCUACAUUACCGGUGAGCAAAUUAUCCUGGGGGGUGGAGGAAUGGGGGAUGUGCUGUCUGUGCAAAAGAUCUGGAGGGGUGCUGCUGUCAGAACAAGUGAUCCUGGGGGAGGGCAAACAAUCCAGCACCAAAAUGUAAUUUUACAUUUAACCCCUGAGGACUCUUAGAUUCUUUGCCCCUUUAAGUUUGCUGCUCUACUUUUACUGCCUGUUUCCAUGCUCCUUUGUAGUUGCUGCAUCUCUCCAUCUCUCCUGGUUGAGUUAUAAGUUAUUUUACUGCAACUGGUGUGCUUACAAUGAAUUAAAAAUUGAUUAAAUAAAUAAAAUGUUCACUGAAUUUUUACUUGAUUGAUUGUUAGUGUAACAUGAAUUUUUAGUUGAUUAAUAAAUAACAA